GAUGAACGCUGGCGGCGUGCCUAAUACAUGCAAGUCGAGCGAACGGACGAGAAGCUUGCUUUUCUGAUGUUAGCGGCGGACGGGUGAGUAACACGUGGAUAACCUACCUAUAAGACUGGGAUAACUUCGGGAAACCGGAGCUAAUACCGGAUAAUAUUUGGAACCGCAUGAUUCAAAAGUGAAAGACGGUCUUGCUGUCACUUAUAGAUGGAUCCGCGCUGCAUUAGCUAGUUGGUAAGGUAACGGCUUACCAAGGCAACGAUGCAUAGCCGACCUGAGAGGGUGAUCGGCCACACUGGAACUGAGACACGGUCCAUACUCCUACGGGAGGCAGCAGUAGGGAAUCUUCCGCAAUGGGCGAAAGCCUGACGGAGCAACGCCGCGUGAGUGAUGAAGGUCUUCGGAUCGUAAAACUCUGUUAUUGGGGAAGAACAUAUGUGUAAGUAACUGUGCACAUCCUGACGGUACCUAAACAGAAAGCCACGGCUAACUACGUG
rnacentral:rRNA from 1 species